ensembl:lncRNA novel transcript
GAGUCAGAAUUUGAGCAGCAGAAAUGCUUAGGUAAGAGAGAAGACAAAUUAACUUGUCAAAUCCUUCAUCUCAGCUUGAAUGCUAUAGAUUCCUGCAUGACAAAGUAUUGUUUCUCAGUAGUAUCAAGCAUACAUUUUCCUUUUGUUAGUGUUCCAAUGUGUGGCUAUUACCUACAGACAAUUUAGUAUAGUAUUCACAAUAGUUACUGGCCUUCAUUCGCAUUCUUCUGCUCCCCUUAAAUUUAGGAGUAGAUCUGGAAUGAAAAUAAGUAUUCUGAGUAUUUCAGGUAUUUGCAAGGUUCAUUAGGGCCGAAACACCAUAUCCUGUAAUUGCCUGAUGUUUAAGUUGUGGAACUUUAUAGUAAACAGUGAUUAAGGUGACUAAAUUUCAGACAAGACUGUGUAGUAUAGGAAGAGCGUGGAUGGUAUCAGCCUCCUUCUGCACUCUCAAGUGAGGUUUCCAGGGAUGAACAUACAUUCUGGCAGAGCAUAGAUAAGCUCCUGAGUGGGUAGUGCUGGGUGGGGUUACAGGCAUGAGCCACCGAGCUUAUAUGCGUUAAAGUGUUUGUGCCACACUCUCUUAGACUUUGCUUAUCAAAAUGUAUUUCAUUUUGAAAUUAUUAAAAACCAACAUAGAUAA